rnacentral:rRNA from 1 species
UCAGGCCUAACACAUGCAAGUCGAGCGAGGACUUCGGUCCUAGCGGCGGACGGGUGAGUAACGCGUGGGAACGUGCCCUUUGCUACGGAAUAGCCCCGGGAAACUGGGAGUAAUACCGUAUGUGCCCUUAGGGGGAAAGAUUUAUCGGCAAAGGAUCGGCCCGCGUUGGAUUAGGUAGUUGGUGGGGUAAUGGCCUACCAAGCCGACGAUCCAUAGCUGGUUUGAGAGGAUGAUCAGCCACACCGGGACUGAGACACGGCCCAGACUCCUACGGGAGGCAGCAGUGGGGAAUCUUAGACAAUGGGCGCAAGCCUGAUCUAGCCAUGCCGCGUGAGCGAUGAAGGCCUUAGGGUUGUAAAGCUCUUUCAGGGGGGAAGAUAAUGAC